UACGUAGGGUGCAAGCGUUAAUCGGAAUUACUGGGCGUAAAGCGUGCGCAGGCGGUUUUGUAAGUCUGUCGUGAAAUCCCCGGGCUCAACCUGGGAAUGGCGAUGGAGACUGCAAGGCUGGAAUCUGGCAGAGGGGGGUAGAAUUCCACGUGUAGCAGUGAAAUGCGUAGAGAUGUGGAGGAAUACCGAUGGCGAAGGCAGCCCCCUGGGUCAAUACUGACGCUCAUGCACGAAAGCGUGGGGAGCAAACAGG
rnacentral:rRNA from 1 species